AUGCAAGUCGAGCGCGAAAGGGGGGGAAACCUUAUAUGGAGAGCGGCGAACGGGUGAGUAACGCGUGGGUAAUCUGCCUCCGAGUGGGGAAUAACACCGGGAAACUGGUGCUAAUACCGCAUGACAUCGUUGGACCUCAUGGCCUGACGUCCUAAGCUGGGGACCGCAAGGCCUAGCGCUUGGAGAGGAGCCCGCGUCCGAUUAGCUAGUUGGCGGGGUAACGGCCCACCAAGGCUUCGAUCGGUAGCCGGCCUGAGAGGGCGG
rnacentral:rRNA from 1 species